UCCUUAUGCUACAAUUGUGAACAA
rnacentral:miRNA from 1 species